UCUUAGAUGACUGAGCUUAAGUAUUAGACUUUUAAUCUAAACACGGCAUAUAUAUAAAUGCCUCUAAGAG
rnacentral:tRNA from 1 species